CAUCGCAGCCUCGAAAGCUCGCGUCCUCGCGAGCUCUGCAGUUCACGGGAUCGCGAGUGUUGCUGCCUGCCGCUUGUAGCCUCGUGUGCGCUGUUGCCUGCCGCUCGCGAGUGUUGCUGCUUGCUGCUAGCGAUACUUGCACUCUAAAUUGACUCAUGGGCUUUCUUAAUGUAGUUGAAUUGAGAGCAUCAAAAUAUUAAUCAUCAAACAUGGAUCUACAAUGACAGUAUAUGAAAGCUGGACA